CGGAAGAGGAUGGGGUCUGGUGGCUCCUGCGGUCUUCAAAACCGUUGGCUGCAAUUUAUUGCAGUGGCAGGUUCGAUUCCUGCCCCUUCCGCC
rnacentral:tRNA from 1 species